CAGGCCCAUCAGCCUGACUUCAGUGCCAGGGAAGGUUAGGGAGCAGAAUAUCUUGAGUGUGAUCAUGCAGCUCAUGCCAGAUGAGGGAUCAGGCCCAGUCAGCCCAGAUUCGUAAAAUGCAGGUCGUGCUUGACAAACCUGAUCCCUUUCUAUGGGAGUGUGAAAAAAGCCUGUGGAUGUUGUCUCCUUGGAAUUUAUUAAAGCCUUUGACACUGUCUCCCACUGCUUUCCCCUGGAGAAAUCAAGCUUGUGGCUUGGACAGCUGCACAGUUCAUGGGUUAAAAACUGUCUGGAUGGCUGGGCCCCAAGAGUGGUAGAGAAUGGAGUUACCUCCAGCUGGUGGCCAGUCACAGGAAGAUCAUUCUGGUGCUGGAGAGAGUCCACAGAAGGGCAGUGGAGCUGGGGCAGGGUCUGGAGAACAGGUCCAGUGAGGAGCAGCUGAGGGAGCUGGGGUUGUUUAUCCCGGAGAAAAGGAGCCUCAGGAGAGAUCUUUUUGCUGUCUAAAACUGCCAAAAAGGGUGCAUAGAAAGUUGAAGAGAGCAGUUCAUCCUGAUAAAGCACCUAUCACAGACAGCUGCAUCAGUCAGUACAGUAUGAAUGGGUUCACUCCAGUGGCAGGCUCCAACCUCACAGAAGCAGAAAGCAAUUGAACAGCCCAGAAGAUACAUCUGAUCACUUAAGAGAAAUUUCAAAAGUGCUACAAGCCAUGAAGACAAGUGCUCAGAGAUUACAGAACAGCAGUAGGACACCACUGAAAGAGUCACAACUCAAUAUUGAAGGGACACUUUCAAAAGUGUCUUUAAUAACAGGUCAGACCAUCUCAUCUUGGAUGGCCUCAGGGGCCUCUGAGCAAUCCAUGGAUGCACAGAGUACAAAGGUUGAAAAAGCAAUUGCAGGGAGAAGGUAAAAUCCAGAGGUGAACAUGACAGAAGAGAGAAAAAAACCUCUGUCCAGCUAUAGGAACCGCCAGUCAAGUUUGUAACCCAGUCGAAACUCAUUGAUUUGACCUUGAGAAAUAUCAGCACAAAGCUCAGGAUAGCAGAUCACAAAGGGAAUGUGGGAAAUUUACCCUGGACUUCCAGAGUUUCCAGCUAGAAGACAAUCCCUUGGAAUGACCCAGAAGGAAGCAACAUUUCCUAAGUCAGGCAGCUGUAGGAUUUUUUCUAAAUCCUGGCUGGAGAUUUUUGUGCACUACGGCUGAUCAUUCAUCUGUCCAGCCCUUUUAAGACUUCUCUUCAUUAUACCCAGGAGAUUCAAGUUUCAUUGUUAGUAAUAUAAGGCUGUGUCAUACCCUUAACAAGCAACAUAGCUGUUGGCAGCCCUUCACUAUCCUGAUUACCAGCUGAGAGUCAACACACCCUGUAAGCAUCUGUUCAUCAGUUCAGCAGAAUUACUCAGGACCCAGUGAGCAUCUGGCAUUCAAGAAUGCAGCUGUCUUUGUGGCAGGCAGGUUUACAGACAUGUUUUUUGCAACUGCUACUUUUUGAGCUCAUUUGCAGUUCACUCAUCUGCUAAAUACAGCAUGGCAAAUUAAAACAGGUUAUCCAAAGUGGUAUAGAGUUUUGCUCACUACUGCAACUCACUGAGAGACUCAUAGCUUCUUUUGUUAUUAGUAUACAUAGCAUUCAGGUAUCCAUUCACCGAAGGGAUUAAACUGACCGUAUCUCUGCAGGCUCUGCAAGGGCUCUCCACUCUCCGCCCUGAGGACGGAGCUUCUGCAAGGGAUAUCUCUGAGCUCAAGGCAUUUCUGCACCUACCUACAGAAGCCAUGUCCUCUCCUCUGUAGGGGUACCUCUGGCCGGG